rnacentral:rRNA from 1 species
AUUGAACGCUGGCGGCAGGCCUAACACAUGCAAGUCGAGCGGUAGAGAGGUGCUUGCAUCUCUUGAGAGCGGCGGACGGGUGAGUAAUGCCUAGGAAUCUGCCUAGUGGUGGGGGAUAACGUUCGGAAACGGACGCUAAUACCGCAUACGUCCUACGGGAGAAAGCGGGGGAUCUUCGGACCUCGCGCCAUUAGAUGAGCCUAGGUCGGAUUAGCUAGUUGGUGAGGUAAUGGCUCACCAAGGCGACGAUCCGUAACUGGUCUGAGAGGAUGAUCAGUCACACUGGAACUGAGACACGGUCCAGACUCCUACGGGAGCAGCAGUGGGGAAUAUUGGGACAAUGGGCGAAAGCCUGAUCCAGCCAUGCCGCGUGUGUGAAGAAGGUCUUCGGAUUGUAAAGCACUUUAAGUUGGGAGGAAGGGUAGUAACCUAAUACGUUGCUACUUUG